ensembl:lncRNA
GUGGAGGAAGGAGGGGGCAGUUUGCAGCAGGAGACCAGAGAAAGAAAUGAAGGAAACGGGAAGGAAAUGACGAAGGCUUGCUCUCUGAAACAGCUAAGCUGCCACUCUCUCUUUAUCAUCCUGUAUGGAAACCUGGAAAAACACACAAACACAUAGGGUGUUGUUGUUGACUGCCAUACAAAACACAGGAUCUCAGGCACAGGAUGAUAAACAAAGAACAUGGAGAGCAAAUAGAAUUGAAGAGGACACAAUCAAAGAGACAACAGGAAAAAAAGGCAGACUGUUGUGCCGAUGGAUUACAAGUGGGGGAAAAAAAGAGUCACAAAGAAAUGGCAAAACAAAGAAGAAAGUUAAACACCAGAAAUGGACCAGAGGUGUGCCCUGUGGUAUCAUGAACAAAGCUGUUCCAGCAGAUCCUUUGGUUCCUCAUGGUGGACAGCAG